UACGUAGGGGGCAAGCGUUGUCCGGAAUCAUUGGGCGUAAAGAGCGUGUAGGCGGCCCGAUAAGUCCGCUGUGAAAGUCCAGGGCUCAACCCUGGAAUGCCGGUGGAUACUGUCGGGCUCGAAUCCGGAAGAGGUGAGUGGAAUUCCUGGUGUAGCGGUGAAAUGCGCAGAUAUCAGGAGGAACACCAAUGGCGAAGGCAGCUCACUGGGACGGUAUUGACGCUGAGACGCGAAAGCGUGGGGAGCAAACGGG
rnacentral:rRNA from 1 species